rnacentral:rRNA from 1 species
AACGAACGCUGGCGGCAGGCUUAACACAUGCAAGGUCGAACGGUUGUAGCAAUACAGCAGUGGCAGACGGGUGAGUAACACGUGGGAACCUUCCUAGGGGGUACGGAACAACUCAGGGAAACUUGAGCUAAUACCGUAUACGUCCGUGAGGAGAAAGAUUUAUCGCCCUUAGACGGGCCCGCGUCGGAUUAGCUAGUUGGUGGGGUAACGGCCUACCAAGGCGACGAUCCGUAGCUGAUCUUAGAGGAUGAUCAGCCACACUGGGACUGAGACACGGUCCAGACACCUACGGGUGGCAGCAGUAGGGAAUAUUGCGCAAUGGGCGAAAGCCUGACGCAGCGAUGCCGCGUGAGUGACGAAGGUCUUAGGAUUGUAAAGCUCUUUUCUGAGGGAAGAAUAGGUCUGGUAGGAAAUGACUGGAUUCUGACGGUACCUCAGGAAUAAGGAACGGCUAACUCCGUG